AGCUCCAAUAGCGUAUAUUAAUGUUGCUGCAGUUAAAAAGCUCGUAGUUGGAUUUCUGACCUGGAGUGCCUGGCCCGUGGUCUAACGAUCAUGAGCGCCGGAUGCGCUUCGGUCAUCCGUCUAGUUACCGUGACUGCCCUUUAUUGGGUUGGUCAUUGGUGCCUAGGCCAUUUACUUUGAAGAAAAUAGAGUGUUCAAAGCAGGCGUUUGCUAUGAAUACUUCAGCAUGGAAUAAUAAGAUAGGACUUUGGUUCUAUUUUGUUGGUUUCUAGAACUAAAGUAAUGAUUGAUAGGGACGGUUGGGGGUGCUAGUAUUUAACGGCCAGAGGUGAAAUUCUUGGAUUCGUUAAAGACUAACUUAGGCGAAAGCAUUCACCAAGGACGUUCUCUUUAAUCAAGA
rnacentral:rRNA from 1 species